CAGGAGAAGGUUGGAAGGUAGAGGUGACUCCUGCUGCUCAAACACCUGGAACUGCUGGCUGGAUGCUGAGCGGCUUGCAGAUCCCUCUCUAGUGUGAAAUGGACAGUAAGAUUCAAAGCCAAGUGUGAGCUGAGAACAUCUGCUGCCCAGGGAGCUGGGGGAGUCCCUGUCCUUGGAGGGCAAAUAGAUCUUAUGGAACAGACUCAGAAAUAAGUGAAGCCUUUUGUGAUGCUGUCGAGGCUCCUGAGAAAGCCAGAAAGAGAGGGCCACCCCUCUGGGAAGUGAUUUUUGUCAUCCUGAAGUCCUACCAAAAAAGCAGUUUGUUGAAUCACCCUAUGGAGAUGCCAACAUCUUUCUGAUAAAAUUUCAGGGCAGCAGAUGACCACUUUAGACAACCAGACCAACUUUUGGUUGAUUAGUGCACUCCAGUCACAUUUUCAGGCUAAAGUCUUCUUUAAUGAAAGCUGGAAUCCUUGCACAACCACUUGCUUCCAGAUGCUGAGGAUUACAGUAAAACACUAAAUAUUGCAAGACUUACGGUACAAUUGCAAGAGUUGGCAGCGGUGAAGAAGUGGACCAGGACUGAGAGAAAGGGAAAAAAUAAUGGGAGACAAUUAAGAAAAGAGCUAAUUUAGAGUGAAUACCGAGAAAGGAAUUUCAGGAAACAAUACUUUCCAAUAAAUUCUCUGAGGCUAUGGAACAGUCUAAAGAGAGAAAGACGGGUUCAAUGUGACCAAAACCCUACCAGUGUGUUGUUGGGAACAUUCCUGUUAUUGGAUUGUUGCAUGAAAUGAUUUUUCGUGUCUUGUUUUGCAUUGAUCUUUCUCCCUUCCUUUUUAAUUGUGAGAAACGCUCAUUUGCUUUUUAAAAUUUCCUUUUUUCUUUCUUUUUUUUUUCUUUUUUCUUUUUUCUUUUUUCUUUUUUUCCCUGUAUGCAUUAAAGAGAUCAGAGCAUGGAUCUAAUCUGUGUGUUGGCUAAUUAUGUCACUUCACUUGUCAGCCCAGGGACCAGAGGGUCUGCAGAGGGUUUUCAGGGUACCAAACAGGCAGUAUUUGUUCUGACCAGCGGAGCACAUCCAGCACAACAAAACAACAGCUACUGGAAAGAAUUGGAGUCCGGUUCCCAGUGGCUGUUUGAAAGUUUAUUUGUAAAUCUCA